GAUGAACGCUGGCGGCGUGCCUAAUACAUGCCAGUCGAGCGAACAGACGAGGAGCUUGCUUCUCUGACGUUAGCGGCGGACGGGUGAGUAACACGUGGAUAACCUACCUAUAAGACUGGGAUAACUUCGGGAAACCGGAGCUAAUACCGGAUAAUAUAUUGAACCGCAUGGUUCAAUAGUGAAAGACGGUUUUGCUGUCACUUAUAGAUGGAUCCGCGCCGCAUUAGCUAGUUGGUAAGGUAACGGCUUACCAAGGCAACGAUGCGUAGCCGACCUGAGAGGGUGAUCGGCCACACUGGAACUGAGAAACGGCCCAGACGCCUACGGGAGGCAGCAGUAGGUAAUCUUCCGCAAUGGGCGAAAGCCUGACGGAGCAACGCCGCGUGAGUGAUGAAGGUCUUCGGAUCGUAAAACUCUGUUAUUAGGGAAGAACAAAUGUGUAAGUAACUAUGCACGUCUGGACGGUACCGAAGCAGAAAGCCAGGGCUAACUACGU
rnacentral:rRNA from 1 species